GCACGUUCACUCCCCAUUUUUCAGGAUCCAAUUGAAAAGCUUCUAAUGCACGCUUCUGACAUAAAGUCUCAGCCAUGUCAAUGUACUCAUUCCCUCCAUAAUAUCUAGCUCCAGGAUACCCUUCACUGUAUUUGUUAGUCAUAACAGAACCAACAGCUUGCAUCACUGAAACUGAGGUGAAAUUUUCCGAUGGAAUAAGCUCGAGUCCCUUCCAUUUGCCUUGCUUUCUCAAGUUCGAUGAUGUCGGAAAUUUCGGGAUCGACUUCCUGGAGUGGAGCAUUCAAUUGCUUUAUCCAAGUAGCACGAGCAUUCUCUUUGUCAGGAACUGCUGGAUUAGGCAAAGGUGGUAGAGGGAAUCGCCACUGAAAUAAGAUCUGAUUGGCUUCUUGAGAGAGGAAGAAAGUCUGCAAAGAGCCUUUGCCAUUUCUGCGUCUCUUCUUUGCUUAUGCUUUUGUUUUUCCCUUGUGUGCUCGCAAAUUUUCUAAUUUUGUAUCGUGGUUCUUGGUUGGUG
rnacentral:misc_RNA from 1 species